UCUUGCUGGUCAAGAGUGGAUGCGA
rnacentral:misc_RNA from 1 species